rnacentral:rRNA from 1 species
GAUGAACGCUAGCGGGAGGCUUAACACAUGCAAGUCGUGGGGCAGCACGAGGUAGCAAUACUUUGGUGGCGACCGGCGCACGGGUGAGUAACACGUAUGCAACCUACCCUUUACAGGGGGAUAGCCCGGAGAAAUUCGGACUAAUACCGCAUAAAGAUAUUUAAAGGCAUCUUUAGAUAUUUAAAGUUCAGACGGUACGGGUGGCAUGCGUAACAUUAGCUAGUUGGUAAGGUAACGGCUUACCAAGGCCACGAUGUUUAGGGGUCCUGAGAGGGUGAUCCCCCACACUGGUACUGAGACACGGACCAGACACCUACGGGUGGCUG